rnacentral:rRNA from 1 species
UACAGAGGUGGCAAGCGUUGUUCGGAAUUACUGGGCGUAAAGGGCGCGUAGGCGGCCUUCUAAGUCGAACGUGAAAGCCCCAGGCUUAACCUGGGAACUGCGUUUGAUACUGGAAGGCUUGGAUUCGGGAGAGGGAUGCGGAAUUCCAGGUGUAGCGGUGAAAUGCGUAGAUAUCUGGAGGAACACCGGUGGCGAAGGCGGCAUCCUGGACCGAGAUCGACGCUGAGGCGCGAAAGCUAGGGGAGCAAACGGG